rnacentral:rRNA from 1 species
GAUGAACGCUAGCGGCAGGCCUAAUACAUGCAAGUCGAACGGUGUCUUCGGACAUAGUGGCGCACGGGUGCGUAACACGUAUGCAACCUACCUUACAUCGGGGGAUAGCCUUUCGAAAGGGAGAUUAAUACCGCAUAAGACAGUAGCUGGGCAUCCAGCAGCUGUUAAAGAUUUAUCGAUGUAAGAUGGUCAUGCGUAGAAGUAGUUAGUUGGCGAGGUAAUGGCUCACCAAGACUUUGAUUGGUAGGGGAACUGAGAGGUCAAUCCCCCACACUGGCACUGAGAUACGGGCCAGACUCCGACGGGAGGCAGCAGUAGGGAAUAGUGGGCAAUGGACGCAAGUCUGACCCAGCCAUGCCGCGUGCAGGAUGAAGGCGUUAUGCGUUGUAAACUGCUUUUAUACAGGAAGAAACGACUCUUGCGAGAGGCAUUGACGGUACUGUAUGAAUAAGCACCGGCUAACUCCGUGCCAGCCGCCGCCGUAA